GUUUAAUUCAAUGAAGAUUUUUACUUCCAGUGAUUUGAGGACUGUUCAAACAUUUCCUUUCUUCUAAAGUCAGUUUUGGUAAACUUUUUCCGAGGCAUUUGAUCCUUUUGCUUAAGUUUUCAAAUGUGCUGUCAAAAAGUUGUUCGCUGCAAUCUCUUACGCCGUGAUGGGUUUCCAUCCCCCGCAGAUUACUUGGAGCCUGGAGUUGAAGGGAGCUGUUGGAACACGGCUGAGGUUCUCCGGCUCAAGACAGCGGCACUGCGGGUUGGAAAAACAGACUGGAUUCUGGAAAUACAACCUGGUGUGUUGGUUCACGAAUGGCCAGAGAGGGCACGGCCCGAAGAUUCCAGUCUGUCACCCCUGAGCGCAGAAGCAGGAGGGGCUGGCUGCAGAGGGACAGGACCGCUGCUGGAGAGGCCGCCGAUCAGGAGCCCAGCUGUGGAUCGGUGCAGUGCUUCUUGCUUCAGGUGUGGUUAGCGGAAGGAUGCUCAUGUCUUCGUUUUACCCACGGCCCGACAGCCAAAGAGAGGCUAGGCAACCCCUCAGCCAUCACAGAGGAGGAGCCGGGCUCGGUUCAGUGCCACCAAACACAAAGCAAAGUUCUUGACCAAAUUGGAGCGUCUUGGCCUGGAGAAGUCUGUGAGGCCCCGCGAGGACAGGUCCAGCAGAUAACGGGGAGCUGGAGCCAUGGGAAGGGGAGGAGCACUGCAGCCAGACGGAACCCCAAACUCAAGUGUCGCAUGGCCAGAGUGAGUUUAGUGGGUUCAAGGAAUGGAAGGAAACCCAGUGGUGCUGGGGCAGAGCCAGCAAGAGCAGAGGGUGGUGGAUGGGGUGGGGGAGAGAGGAGGCCAUGGCUGGGCAGGAGGUCGGACUCAGAGCCGGGGGCACCAGCUCCGGCUGAGGCCAUGGGGGCUCAGCGCCCUGGCGGAGAGGGCUGCAGGGGGCUGCAGUUCUCCUCCUGGUCCUACAGUAGCAUCUGGACCUCACAGAUCCUUGGCCUCAGGCUCUCCUGGUGCCCUCCCUGUGGGGUCACAGAGACCAGCCCCUGUGUGCAGAGUCCUGUGCCCACAGAACCACCUGCACCCUCCUGAGGAAGGUCAACCCAGUUCCCGGUCUCUGGAUCCUGGGCAGGAUGCCCACCUCCUCAGGGGGUCCAGCCAGUGGCUCUGAUGGGGAAGGGGCCAUUUCCUGGGGCAGCAGGUAUGUCCUGAUAACACUCUGAAGAUCAUUUCCAUUGACAUUACGUCAUUUGUGCCUGGAAACGGCUUGGUGUUUGUGUUGCCUUUUCUGUGCAUAUAUUUUUAAAUUCACUUUUUUAUUUUAAUUAGGCAUAAGUGACAGCAGGAUGCAUUUUGACUCACUGUACCCAGUUGCAGCGCAGCUGUUCAUUUUCCGGAUUGACCUACCCAGGACGGCAUCUCUGUUCUGUUGGUGGGCUGCUCGUCGUGGUUAGACGACUCUACUGUCCUCCCAUUGCGUCCUCGGCCUCUCUCGUUUCCCCCAGCCCCGCAGGUUGACCUUGAGCACAACAGGCGCUGGCCACCGGCACCGAUUCCAGGCAGAUGCCGACCUCCUUGUCCUUCCCCUUCCUGCCUGGGGUGGGGUGGGGGCUUUCUCUCCUAGAUCCCAGGAGGACGUCCUUACUGCCCUCUGGCGGCGGAGGGGUUUCUGUUCUGCGCCGAGCGAGCGUCAGAUGCUUAGAGCUAGCAAGAAGGUGAAGGGAGGAGGAGUGGGGGGGGAUCAGAGCAGGCUAAGCCAUUUGUGCGGGCAUCCCAGAUACCAAACUGGCACGACACCCUAGAGGACACACUGUCCCAGGGCCUGUUUAUAGGCCAGCCUAUGCUUUUGUACUUAAGGAUUAUAAAGUACAAUGAGCUCUAGAGAGUGAUUUGCAAGCUAUUUGGAUGCACCUGUGUCAAGUGGCUGACACAUUCUGCUGACAGCCAUAGCCAAGUAGGAAUGACCAUGGCAUUUUUGGUUGAAAGGUGACGCCAGCAAGCCAUUGAGAUGAUAAUGAUCAUGUUAAGAUGUGCAUUCAAUUGGAG
rnacentral:lncRNA from 1 species